UUUUCGGCACAGGUUUGAUCACGGUGGAGAACCCACGUGACUUAUUUGGUAAAGUGCACGGCAACAAAUGUCAACUAGUCUCGAUUCAGAAUAUGAAGACUCCGACUUAAUGCAAAGAAUGCGGAAUGGCAUUUCAAAAUAAAAAAAAACAUCUAGUAGACCACGAUAGAAGGCAUUCUGGUCAAUUGCCAUCGUUUGCGGGAGUGUUUACACAGACACAGGUGCAGCAAUCACGGCGAGACAAAGUUGCACGUUUGCAAAUAUUGUGGCAAAACUGCUCUUGCAAGACUUGAAGAUACACGAAAGACACGAAAGCGGCCAAUUGAAGCUAACCUGUGAUGUGUGUGGGUUCAAA